UACAGAGGGGGCAAGCGUUAUUCGGAAUUAUUGGGCGUAAAGGGCGCGUAGGCGGCUUGGCAAGUGGAAGGUGAAAUCCCUCGGCUUAACCGAGGAACUGCCCUCCAAACUGCUUGGCUUGAGACCGGGAGAGGUGAGUGGAAUUCACGGUGUAGCAGUGAAAUGCGUAGAUAUCGUGAGGAACACCGAUGGCGAAGGCAGCUCGCUGGGACGGUACUGACGCUGAGGCGCGAAAGCGUGGGGAGCGAACAGG
rnacentral:rRNA from 1 species